UGUAAGCGUAUACCAAAGUUGUUGCAGUUAAAACGCUCGUAGUCGGAAUUUGGCAGUUCCGGAUGUGUGCACGUCGUGUGCGCACUUCGCGGGGAUUGCUUUUGUGGUCUUGCGUAGGAUGAGGCACUUUUAUUAGUGAACGUCCUCACGCAACCACUUUUUACUGUGAGAAAAUCAGAGUGCUCAAAGCAGGCAUUUGCCGUGAAUGUAUUAGCAUGGAAUAAUAGAAUAGGACUUGGUUCUAUUUUGUUGGUUUGUUGGGACUGAGUAAUGAUUAAGAGGGACAGUUGGGGGCAUUUGUAUUUCGGUGCUAGAGGUGAAAAUCUUAGAUUACCGAAAGACAAACUGCUGCGAAAGCGUCUGCCAAGGAUGUUUUCAUUGA
rnacentral:rRNA from 1 species